AUUUACCGCUCUACCACAAAGCGAUGUACUCGAGAAAUCGUAGUAGGAAGGUCUAAUUCUAACCCGAAGGUCCUGGAAACGGAGGGUUUUGUUUGGCGAGAAGAUGGAGCUCGCGCUCGUCGCCGGCGACAACAAGCGCCGCAUCAUCCAACAGCUUGGUUUCCAUUCAGAUAACACCGUUGAAUCGUUUGUGCUUUCUGUUGUUUCUUUUGUUUGAAGCAAAACCUUGCAUUUAUAAGUUUCUUAGCGUCUCUUAUUUCUUAUGUUUUCAGUGAAAAAGGGAUUUUUUUUCGUAGGUGUUGUAUGUGAUUUCACGGACAUGUUUUUUUGAAUAAUUUCCGUUCAUAUUUUCUUCCCUUUCCCUUCGGAAUUCCCAGAAUCUGGAUCUUUUUUCUUCCUUUUUUUGUGGUGUUUUUGGGACAUCCCUGGGACUAGUAGAAUGAAAGAAAAGAGUGUAAUUCCAAUGAAAAGAGCGUUUCUUUAUUGUUGAUUGUUACAUAGUGAUAAAUGCGAGAAGCUGGGUGUCUCCGGUAAGUUCUGAUAAUACUGGUAAAUUGGAAUUAACAUGCAGAAAUUUGGAUCAAGUUUUAAUAUGAAUCCAAGCAACAAGAAGAAGUUGUAAUUCACCAGUUUACUGGGUAUAGUUCUAAUUUUAGAUUGCAAAGAUGAUGGAAGAGAAAGGUGGGUGGGUCGGUAACUUGCGAUGAUUAUCUCGACGGAUGUGAAAUGGGCAUGACAAGUCGUCACCAUAGUUACCAUGCUUUUCAACAUUACAUGGGAGUAGGGUACCGAGAAAGAGCAUGACUGUCAGAGCACAGGGAUCAAGUUUUUCUUUUUGUAAAUUUAAAGGUGGUUGAGAGGCAAUGCUAAUUGUUUUACAUAAUUAAUUAAUCAAGAAAAAGAAGGCAGGAACAGAAAUAAGUUGACAAUACUGUCCAUCAAAAUCUUUGUGUUGGGUCAAGCAUCAUGAUUCAAUAGUCAAAAAAUUUUCUUACGAUUGUGUACAUGGAAUAUCACUCUUUGAUUUCGACACAAUUGAAUUUGGAAAACACCAAAACUGACAUGUAAAGACUCCUUUUCGAAAGAAAGAGGAAAUAUCCUGUGAUCAUCUGGCUAAUGUUAAGGCAUGUUAUUGUCUUCUUUCUUGCUUCUGCUUUAAGAGAGAAUUUGCAUUACUAUAUACCUUUCAAGAUUAUUUGACUGCUUCUGUUCACAGUUAUCAAAAUAGAGGACUUCCUUGGCCAGAGCAUGAAUGUCAGAUUUUAGGGAUCUAGUUUUUAUAUAUUUUUAAUGUGGUUGAAAGAAAAUUCUAGUUGUUUUAUAGAUAUUUUAGCUAUGGUUGGUUUGAAAAUGUCAAAUUUUAUUAAAAGAAGAGAAGCAGAGCAGUAAGACCAUGAGAAUCAUGUUUACUAUCCUUUAAUUUGGCCAAGAAUUAUGAACAUGACUUAAUUGACAUAAAAUUGAUCUCUAUCAAUCUUGUAUGUGGACUAUAAUCUUUGCUUUGGAUGGUACUGAAAUUAUUUACAAAUGGAUCUAACACAUCAAAUUAUUGGAUGGUAAGGAAAGUUUUCCCUUUGAAAGGAGGAGACCGGAGAUCCCAAUUACAUGUAACGAUUAGCAGCUACCUGGCUACAAUGAGGAACCAUACUUUUCUCAUCUUUUUUUUAUUUUUUAUUUAAGAGUCAUUUGCAUUGUUAUCUCCUUGGUAUUAGAUAUUUGGCCCUUUUUUCUUCUCUCUUCACCCUUUCUUCUUUUUUGCUUGUCUUUUGGGGGGUUACUCUAUCACUGCAAUUGAACUGAACCGGUAAUUUAACAUUUUGCCUUAGUUAUUUUCUUUUAAUUUAAUUUAAUUUUUAUUUUGAUCAUCUCUUUAUUUUACAAUGUAUGAUUUCCACUUUCUAAUGCCUUCUGCCAAAUAGGUUGUGCUACAAAUAGAUCUCCAUGUUUAAGAUGGCAUUUGCAUUAUCAAAAUGAUCGGAGCUAUUGUGGAAAAUUAGCUGACAUAAUUAGGUAGCUUUUCGUAGACUCAUAAGAUGAAUAUCCUGGUCAACAAUUUUCUCCGAAGACCUAAAGUAAGCGAAAGACAAAAUAGCAGGAUAGGUUUAAAUCAAGAAGAACCACUUGCACUAUAAUCAAUGGGCCAUAUACAACCAAAAAUCAUGUUGUUUGGAGAUCAUGUACGUUAAAUAUUCAUACUUGCCAUUAUUGUUCAAUGCUAUGUUUCUUCGAAUUUGACCAUUGUUACAUGAAGGCCAUGUACAACAUCCAUCAAAAUUGAUACUUUUUAUAUGCAAAUUGAGAAGUAAUUUCUAGUUGUUCAACACAUGUUUUAUGAUCUCAUUUCACAAAGUUUCCAUUUCUCUCUUGGAGACAGCCUUGAUUCUUCUUACAGGUGUUAGUCACACAAGAUCAAUCUUAUUUGAAGUUAAUAAAUUAUCUCAAAGUUGUUUAUGUGGCAUAUUGACUUGCAAUUUCUGACAGUGUUGUUUGUUAGAAUCAUGAUUAUUCUGUAGGACUUCACUGGAAUCUUGAAUAUUCAAAGAACUUCAAUAACGUGGACAAGUCAAUUAUGCAAUCCUAUUCCUGCAAGUACAAAGGCUACUUUUGUGACUUUAACUGUGGUCAUCCAACAAAUUUACUAUAGUGCCAAAACUUAUCCCCAAUACAUGAAUAAUUACGUUCCUCUAAAUUUUAGAAAAAGGAAUAUGACCAAUUUCUGAAUGUUAGACUGUAUAGAAAUCUAAGUCAUAAACUUUGAGAUCAGCAUUGAUGUUUGAGAUGGGAUCAGGAUUAUGCAUCUAGCAUUGAACUUGCAUCAUGUAGAGCAGACCAGCUAUGUUUGUUCAUUUCUUUUUCUCCCAGAGGGCAACCCUGCAUCUAAUGCAUCUAACAUCACUGAUUGACAUCUAUGUAAAGUCUAGCUUGUCCAUUUCUUUUUGUGCUCUUUGUAAGCAUGUUCAUGGACUCAUAUUUACAAGGUAUAAUUGGCAUAUCCCAUAUUGGCACGAGCAUAUGUUCCGUCCUUUCUUUUCUAUUGGCAGAAAUUUUAACCUAGUGUUGCAUGUCUAGUUAGUUUGUUUUGUUUUUUGGUUUAAAGUUCCAGAAAUGCAAGAUGUUACUGUUCUGCACUUCUCUGGCAAUGUGGAGCAAGUUAAUUUUGUAAUUUUACUGCUCUCAGAAGGUGCUGUCUAAAUUACAUGUUUUUCAUACAGCUACUUGUGAACUGCUAAUAGUUUUUUUUCUUGCUGAAGUGAAUCAAGCCUGUUAUUCUCCAAUCUGUGGAAAAAGUCUUUGUACCCCAUAUUUAGUGUUCUCUUUGAUUGCUUGCUGCUGUAGCCACAUGGAAUCAGAUUCUGUGAAAAUUGCUGUUGAAGGAGUUUGAAUUGUGUAAGAAGGAAAACUAUGAUUUGUUUAUCAUGGACACAAGCAAGCAACACAAACAGGAAACUUUUCUUUUUAAAGAAAUGCAUCAAGUGUCAGAAGCAACAGUAGAUAAUUGUUCCUUUCAAUCAUAAUAUUCAACUUACAGUUGUUCUGUGAACAGAAAUUGGCCAAUUGUCCUUGCUCUUUUUCUCUGAAAUCGAUCUUAAUAUUUGUCAUGGACUGCAGCUGUUGAUGUAGCACAAGCUUUCUUGCAAACCUAGCAGUUGGAGCUUUGGUGAAGCAGAAGGAGCUGAUGCAUUUAGUGUGCAAGCCAUCUGUUGAUGAACUUGGUAUACUGUCAUGUGGAGGUCUUGUCUUCCUACCUGGUUUAAUGCCCAAGUGAUCCCUAAAGGCCAUGAAAAGGAAUGUCAACCAACAAUCAAGCUUUAUACAACGACUAUGAUGAUGAAUUCCAUGACAAAUGCAGAGCCUGAAUCUGAUGAAUGAAUGAAGCCUGUGCAUUAUGGAUUGCGAAAAUGCUUAGAAAAGGGAUUUGUAGCAAGAUGAUGCAGCUCAGGAUGCCAAAGAAAGGUGAAUUGAGCACAUUGUCCUGGAAUACGUGAAUGCACAGCUCAUGAGCAAAGGUCCUGCCUCAGCCAAUAGAAGGUAAUCCCAAGUAUUGACAUGUUAGUUGUCGUUCCUGCUGGUAUUAAUCCACGGUUUCUCUUAGACAAUCUUUGAUUAAUUUUUGAUGUCUUUGCCUUGUUGUGCCUCCUUGCAAUUAGUAUGAUUAUUAUGGAGGUUCAAUCUACCAGCCCGAGUGUACAAAUAAAAAAUAUUAGAUAUUUGGGUUAGAUUUAAGAUGGCUUCAGAUACAUGAAUGGACAAGGGAAACUUGCAACCAUUCAGGAGUGGCAAUAGAUUUCUUUUUUCGUACUACCAUGUAGAGCUCCCAGUUUUUUGUCUUGCCAAUAAAGUUUGUAUGUUUAUGAUA